CGGGAGUUAACAGAAAUAAGUUUGCAAAUAUGUAUGAAACACCUGGUGCACACAAUGGCGGCUGUGUUGGAAAUUCAAGGUGAGCAAGACAAAGAAGCUCGGAUAGCUACAUAAACGCCACGUGCAUUGUGAUUUAGACCAAAGUAGAAUUUUGCACACGGCGUUUCUUCUACAUUGGUGUGGUCACUAUUCUUCUGCAUGAGAGAACUGAGACAGGCUUCCCAGGAGAGCUAAUGAUUAAAAAGGUUGCAGAUGAACAGGUGUUUGCCAGAUGGAGCUCUAGAUAAAAGGGGAGUCCAACCCAAGAGGUGAUAAAGUCACAGAGAGGCUGAUAGUUUAAAAACACAUGAUCUAAAUGGAGAGAAGAGUGGACAGAAGAGAUGGUCCAUGCUGUGCCCAAGGUCUUCCUUUGCUACAGACACACAUGAGCCCCAAAUUCUUUUCAAUUCCCCUAAAUCUGAGAUUACUGGGAAGGAGUUGUUGCGGAAGUUUGAUAGCAAAGCCUGAAACAGGACAAAGGACGGGACUGCGGAUAAGGCAAUGCCGUGUCUGA
rnacentral:lncRNA from 1 species